ACACAUGCAGUCGACGGUGAAAGAGAGCUUGCUCUCUGGAUCAGUGGCGAACGGGUGAGUAACACGUGAGCAAUCUGCCCCUGACUCUGGGAUAAGCGCUGGAAACGGCGUCUAAUACCGGAUACGAGCUGCGAAGGCAUCUUCAGCAGCUGGAAAGAAUUUCGGUCAGGGAUGAGCUCGCGGCCUAUCAGCUAGUUGGUGAGGUAAUGGCUCACCAAGGCGUCGACGGGUAGCCGGCCUGAGAGGGUGACCGGCCACACUGGGACUGAGACACGGCCCAGACUCCUACGGGAGGCAGCAGUGGGGAAUAUUGCACAAUGGGCGCAAGCCUGAUGCAGCAACGCCGCGUGAGGGACGACGGCCUUCGGGUUGUAAACCUCUUUUAGCAGGGAAGAAGCGAAAGUGACGGUACCUGCAGAAAAAGCGCCGGCUAACUACGUGCCAGCAGCCGCGGUAAUACGUAGGGCGCAAGCGUUAUCCGGAAUUAUUGGGCGUAAAGAGCUCGUAGGCGGUUUGUCGCGUCUGCUGUGAAAACCCGAGGCUCAACCUCGGGCCUGCAGUGGGUACGGGCAGACUAGAGUGCGGUAGGGGAGAUUGGAAUUCCUGGUGUAGCGGUGGAAUGCGCAGAUAUCAGGAGGAACACCGAUGGCGAAGGCAGAUCUCUGGGCCGUAACUGACGCUGAGGAGCGAAAGGGUGGGGAGCAAACAGGCUUAGAUACCCUGGUAGUCCACCCCGUAAACGUUGGGAACUAGUUGUGGGGUCCAUUCCACGGAUUCCGUGACGCA
rnacentral:rRNA from 1 species